GACAGAGGAGCCAAGCGUUGUCCGGAUUGACUGGGCGUAAAGCGCACGCAGGCGGUCGCGCGCGUGGUGUGUGAAAACUGGCGGCUUAACUGCCAGAGGCCAUCCCAUACGGCGCAACUCGAGCCAUGCAGAGGUCCACGGAAUUGCCGGUGUAGUGGUGAAAUGCGUAGAGAUCGGCAGGAACACCCAGGGGGAAACCAGUGGACUGGGCAUGUGCUGACGCUCAGGUGCGAAAGCGUGGGGAGCGAACCGG
rnacentral:rRNA from 1 species